rnacentral:rRNA from 1 species
UGAAAACCCUAGAGAUAGGGCUUCUCCUUCGGGAGCAGAGUGACAGGUGGUGCAUGGUUGUCGUCAGCUCGUGUCGUGAGAUGUUGGGUUAAGUCCCGCAACGAGCGCAACCCUUGAUCUUAGUUGCCAUCAUUAAGUUGGGCACUCUAAGGUGACUGCCGGUGACAAACCGGAGGAAGGUGGGGAUGACGUCAAAUCAUCAUGCCCCUUAUGACCUGGGCUACACACGUGCUACAAUGGACGGUACAAAGAGCUGCAAGACCGCGAGGUGGAGCUAAUCUCAUAAAACCGUUCUCAGUUCGGAUUGUAGGCUGCAACUCGCCUACAUGAAGCUGGAAUCGCUAGUAAUCGCGGAUCAGCAUGCCGCGGUGAAUACGUUCCCGGGCCUUGUACACACCGCCCGUCACACCACGAGAGUUUGUAACACCCGAAGUCGGUGGGGUAACCUUUUUGGAGCCAGCCGCCUAAGGUGGGACAGAUGAUUGGGG